CAAGGGAGACAGGUGGUGCAUGGUUGUCGUCAGCUCGUGUCGUGAGAUGUUGGGUUAAGUCCCGCAACGAGCGCAACCCUUAUCAUUAGUUGCCAGCAGGUUAAGCUGGGCACUCUAAUGAGACUGCCGGUGAUAAACCGGAGGAAGGUGGGGAUGACGUCAAAUCAUCAUGCCCCUUAUAUCUUGGGCUACACACGUGCUACAAUGGUCGGUACAAAGAGAAGCGAAGGAGUGAUCUGGAGCAAAUCUUCAUAAACCGAUCCCAGUUCGGAUUGUAGGCUGCAACUCGCCUACAUGAAGUUGGAGUUGCUAGUAAUCGCGAAUCAGAACGUCGCGGUGAAUGCGUUCCCGGGUCUUGUACACACCGCCCGUCACACCAUGGAAGUUGGUAAUACCCAAAGUCGCUGAGCUAACCGUAAGGGGGCAGGCGCCUAAGGUAGGAUCAAUGACUGGGGUG
rnacentral:rRNA from 1 species